UUUCCGUAGGUGAACCAGCGGAAGGAUCAUUAUUGGAUUUUGAAACUUCAGGCUGCUGCUGGCUCUCCUCGGAGGGCAUGUGCACGCUUGUUGUCCAUUAUUUCUCCCACUGUGCACAAAUUGUAGACCUUUCAGUAGGCCUAUGUUGUUUUUCACAAUCUCUGAAUGUAAUAGAAUGGUUUUGAAUCUUGGGAAAUACAAUACAACUUUCAGCAACGGAUCUCUUGGCUCUC
rnacentral:misc_RNA from 1 species